rnacentral:rRNA from 1 species
GACGAACGCUGGCGGCGUGCUUAACACAUGCAAGUCGAACGGGGAAGCGCCUUCCUUUUUGGUGGGUGUGGAUGAGUGGCGAACGGGUGAGUAACACGUGAGUAACCUGCCCCCUUCUUCUGGAUAACCGCAUGAAAGUGUGGCUAAUACGGGAUAUUCUGGGUCUGUCGCAUGAUGGGUCUGGGUAAGAUAUUGGUUCGGUGGGGGAUUGGCUCGGGGCCUAUCAGGUUGUUGGCGGGGUGGAGGCCUAGCAAGGCUGGGACGGGUAGCCGGCCCGGGAGGGUUGCCGGUCACGUCUGGGAGGAGGAACGGCCACAACUGGAACGGGACGCAGCAGUGGGGACUACUGGACGAUGGGGGGAGGACUGAUGCAGCGACGGCGCAUGAGGGAUGGAGGCAUGCGGGUUGUGAACCUCUUUCGCCAGUGAAGCAGACCUGCCUCGUCUGUGGGUGGGUUGACGGUAGCUGGAGAAGAAGCUCCGGCUAACUACGUG